rnacentral:lncRNA from 1 species
AGCCUCUGACGCUACGAAGUGUAAGGCCUUCUCAAUGACCCUUAAGGGAAGUGCAAAAGAUUGGUAUUUGUCUCUCCCGCAAGGUUCCAUCCAAAGUUUUUUUACAGUUGGGCCAAAUGUUCUUGGGAAGAUUUCGGGCUCGUAGAACCAUAAUGAGCACUCCUAUGGGUUUAAUGUUUGUAAAAUAGAGAGACAAGGAACCUUGCAAGAUUAUGUUAAACGCUUUCAUGCAAUGACAUUAAAUACAAAG